AUUGAACGCUGGCGGCAUGCUUUACACAUGCAAGUCGAACGGUAACAGGCCGCAAGGUGCUGACGAGUGGCGAACGGGUGCGUAAUGCAUCGGAACGUGCCCAGUCGUGGGGGAUAACUACUCGAAAGAGUAGCUAAUACCGCAUACGAUCUAUGGAUGAAAGCGGGGGACCGUAAGGCCUCGCGCGAUUGGAGCGGCCGAUGUCAGAUUAGGUAGUUGGUGGGGUAAAGGCUCACCAAGCCAACGAUCUGUAGCUGGUCUGAGAGGACGACCAGCCACACUGGGACUGAGACACGGCCCAGACUCCUACGGGAGGCAGCAGUGGGGAAUUUUGGACAAUGGGCGCAAGCCUGAUCCAGCAAUGCCGCGUGCAGGAAGAAGGCCUUCGGGUUGUAAACUGCUUUUGUACGGAACGAAACGGCUCUGGUUAAUACCCGGGGCUAAUGACGGUACCGUAAGAAUAAGCACCGGCUAGCUACGUG
rnacentral:rRNA from 1 species